GCCGAUGUGGUGAAAUUGGUAGACACGCAUGCUUCAGGUGCAUGUCCCGCUUGCGGGAUGUGGGUUCGAGUCCCACCAUCGGCA
rnacentral:tRNA from 3 species